rnacentral:piRNA from 1 species
UGCAGUUGCUAGGUUGCUGUUUGAUGA